GUUCAGGCACAGGUGAGGCUGUCCAUGGUGCUGUGCAGGCACAGGUAAGGCUGUGCAGGCACAGGUGAGGCUGUCCAUGGUGCUGUGCAGGCACAGGUGAGGCUGUUCAUGGUGCUGUGCAGGCACAGGUGAGGCUGUCCAUGGUGCUGUGCAGGAGCAGAGCUCCACACUCCAGCAGUGAUUUCCCCAAGCCC